rnacentral:rRNA from 1 species
GAUGAACGCUAGCGGCAGGCUUAACACAUGCAAGUCGAGGGGUAGGAGAAGCUUGCUUUUCUGAGACCGGCGCACGGGUGCGUAACGCGUAUGCAAUCCACCUUUCACAGAGGGAUAGCCCAGAGAAAUUUGGAUUAAUACCUCAUAGUAAUACGACUUGGCAUCAAGAUGUAUUUAAAGAUUUAUCGGUGAAAGAUGAGCAUGCGUCCCAUUAGCUAGUUGGUAUGGUAACGGCAUACCAAGGCAACGAUGGGUAGGGGUCCUGAGAGGGAGAUCCCCCACACUAGUACUGAGACACGGACCAGACUCCUACGGGAGGCAGCAGUGAGGAAUAUUGGACAAUGGGCGCAAGCCUGAUCCAGCCAUGCCGCGUGCAGGAUGACGGUCCUAUGGAUUGUAAACUGCUUUUAUACAGGAAGAAACACCUCUACGUGUAGAGACUUGACGGUACUGUAAGAAUAAGGAUCGGCUAACUCCGUGCCAGCAGCCGCGGUAAUACGGAGGAUCCAAGCGUUAUCCGGAAUCAUUGGGUUUAAAGGGUCCGUAGGCGGUCAGGUAAGUCAGUGGUGAAAGCCCAUCGCUCAACGGUGGAACGGCCAUUGAUACUGUCUGACUUGAAUUAUUAGGAAGUAACUAGAAUAUGUAGUGUAGCGGUGAAAUGCUUAGAGAUUACAUGGAAUACCAAUUGCGAAGGCAGGUUACUACUAAUUGAUUGACGCUGAUGGACGAAAGCGUGGGUAGCGAACAGGAUUAGAUACCCUGGUAGUCCACGCCGUAAACGAUGGAUACUAGCUGUUGGGAGCAAUCUCAGUGGCUAAGCGAAAGUGAUAAGUAUCCCACCUGGGGAGUACGAACGCAAGUUUGAAACUCAAAGGAAUUGACGGGGGCCCGCACAAGCGGUGGAGCAUGUGGUUUAAUUCGAUGAUACGCGAGGAACCUUACCAAGGCUUAAAUGUAGUUUGACUGUUUGGAAACAGAACUUCGC